GCCACUUCAUUCAUCACUGAAGGGCAAAACCCACCUGGUUGAUGGCUUGCAGUCAUGAUGCACAACUGCUCUUCUAUACAAAAGAACAUGUUUAAAAGUAAGAAACGGCUUCACAUUGAUGACAAGCCAUCCUCCACCUAACAGGCCCAAAACUGCCACAGGGAGCACAAGUCCUUGACAGGACGAUUUCUGAUGGCAAACUCUUCAACCUGAGCAGGUUUAAGGUCUUGAAGCAAACUUUUCACAAAUACCAUCAUGGAGCUGGAAUAUGCAGAUGUAGACACUUUCAUAGCGGCUUCAGAAGAUGACCUACAAUGCUUCCUGGACAGUUAUACAAAGGCAUAGAAG
rnacentral:lncRNA from 1 species